GACGAACGCUGGCGGCGUGCCUAAUACAUGCAAGUAGAACGCACAGUUUAUACCGUAGCUUGCUACACCAUAAACUGUGAGUUGCGAACGGGUGAGUAACGCGUAGGUAACCUGCCUGGUAGCAGGGGAUAACUAUUGGAAACGAUAGCUAAUACCGCAUAAUAUUAAUUAUUGCAUGAUAAUUGAUUGAAAGAUGCAAUUGCAUCACUACCAGAUGGACCUGCGUUGUAUUAGCUAGUAGGUGAGGUAACGGCUCACCUAGGCGACGAUACAUAGCCGACCUGAGAGGGUGAUCGGCCACACUGGGACUGAGACACGGCCCAGACUCCUACGGGAGGCAGCAGUAGGGAAUCUUCGGCAAUGGACGAAAGUCUGACCGAGCAACGCCGCGUGAGUGAAGAAGGGUUUCGGAUCGUAAAGCUCUGUUGUAAGAGAAGAACGGGUGUGAGAGUGGAAAGUUCACACUGUGACGGUAUCUUACCAGAAAGGGACGGCUAACUACGUG
rnacentral:rRNA from 1 species